rnacentral:rRNA from 1 species
UACAGAGGGUGCAAGCGUUAAUCGGAAUUACUGGGCGUAAAGCGUGCGUAGACGGUUAUGUAAGUCGGGUGUGAAAGCCCCGGGCUCAACCUGGGAAUGCCAUUCGAGACUGCAUAGCUAGGGUGCGGAAGAGGGAAGCGGAAUUUCCGGUGUAGCGGUGAAAUUCGUAGAUAUCGAGAGGAACACCGGUGGCGAAGGCGGCCAACUGGACAGAUACUGACGCUGAGACACGAAAGCGUGGGGAGCAAACAGG